rnacentral:Y_RNA from 1 species
AGCUAUGUUUGAAGUGCAGUGGUGUUUACGACUAAUUGAUCACAACCAAUUACAGGCUCCUUUGUUCCUUAUUUACUCCCACAGCUUCACUUAACUAGUUUCUA